ACGCUACAAUGGUCUGUACAAUGGGUAGCCAAGGCCGCGAGGCGGAGCCAAUCCUGAAAAGCCAAGGCCUCAGUUCAGAUUGCAGUCUGCAACUCGACUGCAUGAAGCCGGAGUUGCUAGUAACCGCAGGUCAGCAAUACUGCGGUGAAUACGUUCCCGGGUCUU
rnacentral:rRNA from 1 species